AAAGCGAGGCAUCGGCAUCUAAAGGAAAAGAAAAGAUCGUUGAGGAGUAAACGCGUAUUCUGGGUUGAAAAAUGGUUAGAGUCUCGGUUCAGCAUCCAGGACAAUCCCGACUCCGACAUAAAUAUUUUGUUCUGGCGACGGUUUGGGGUUAGGGGGUGUUACAACUUCUAUGUCUUUUUCAUGUUGUUUGCAGGUUUGUGGUGUCAGGCGAAGCAUGUAGCGGAGGGCAGGUGAUGGGACGUGACGUGCGGCGCACAUGGCCCUGGCAUGUGGCGCUGGAGGUGUUAAGGGGAGCUAGGGUUUUCUGAAAUUUUAGGGUGUUGGGCCAUAAUGUUUGGGCCAUUAGUUUUUUUUAGAAUUGGGCUCGUGGGUUUGUUUAUUUUGUAAAUGGAUUGGAUAUCGGGCCCGGGCAAAUUGGGCUGAUUACAACAAGUAUUGGGUACAAUGUUAAAGCACGUUAUAUUUUUAAGGAGAAUCAAACUCAAACU